rnacentral:rRNA from 1 species
CAGUAGCCGCGGGAAUACGAGGGGGGCAAGCGUUGUUCGGAAUUAUUGGGCGUAAAGGGUGCGUAGGCGGUUUGGCAAGUUGGAUGUGAAAUCCCCGGGCUCAACCUGGGAACUGCAUCCAAAACUGGCGAGCUAGAGUAUGGUAGAGGGUGGUGGAAUUUCCUGUGUAGCGGUGAAAUGCGUAGAGAUCUGGAGGAAUACCGAUGGCGAAGGCAGCCAUCUGGCCUAAUACUGACGCUGAGGUACGAAAGCAUGGGGAGCAAACAGGAUUAGAUACCCCAGUAGUCCCUGUCUCUUAUAC